rnacentral:lncRNA from 1 species
GGUACAGAGUCAGUGUGGAGGUUAUAUACAGGGGGUACCGGUACAGAGUCAGUGUGGAGGUUAUAUACAGGGGGUACCGGUACAGAGUCAGUGUGGAGGUUAUAUACAGGGGGUACCGGUACAGAGUCAGUGUGGAGGCUAUAUACAGGGGGUACAGGUACCGAGUCAGUGUGGAGGUUAUAUACAGGGGGUACCGGUACAGAGUCAGUGUGGAGGUUAUAUACAGGGGGUACAGGUACAGAGUCAGUGUGGAGGUUAUAUACAGGGGGUACCGGUACAGAGUCAGUGUGGAGGCUAUAUACAGGGGGUACCGGUACCGAGUCAGUGUGGAGGCUAUAUACAGGGUGUACCGGUACAGAGUCAAUGUGGAGGCUAUAUACAGGGGGUACCGGUACAGAGUCAGUGUGGAGGCUAUAUACAGG